AAAGAAGGAUUGCUACAAAAGUUUGAAAAAAGUGGGAGAGCUUUUCAUUUCAUGUUGCAGGAUUGCAACAGACACCUGUGGAAUACUGGAUGGAUACUGAAAGGAUACUGUGAAAUGGAAGCCAGGACUCACACUUGGUCCUGAGAGGCUUCACAGUGGCCAGCAAUGGAAUGAUGACAUCAUGACUGGCAGAAGAUGAAACAGUAUCAGUAGAUAUGAGCAAAUCCAGAGUGGCAGACGUAACUUAACAGGAUGAGAGGUACCUGGCAUUCUGAAACAUCUGUCACCAAAGCGCCGCUUCAAACCCUGGCUAUUCACAGACCGCUAUCCCAAGAUUCAAUGCAGCUGAGGAUGAGGAUGCACAGGACAAUCAUACAAAUCUCCUCAAGCUCUUCCUCUUGUUGGCCAAAAUAUGAAGUUAAAAGGUUUUCUGGAUGGAUCUGGAGCAGUGAUUAAGGAUGAGAAGCUGCUGUCGUGGCCCCCAGGCUAGGAGGGACUCUUCCUGGGGGACCCUGGGGCCCAUGGGCCAGCCUACAGCAGGGAUGUACCCCUGCAGAGAGACACAAUUUGUUUAAAACUGUUUAAGUAAAGCGCUGUAUGAUUCUUCUUGAAAUUUU